AAGAAAAUCCUAAAAAUGGGUUAAAUGAUAGAAUUAACAGAGUCAUGGAGUAAUUAAUGAGAUAGAGCUGAAAAUAAUACUCAGAGUGCAGGAGUUAGAUGGUUUCUUAUGAUGCCUCACAAUCUUAUGAUAUUAAACUGUUGUUAAUAAUAGCAACAAUAAUAAUAGCUAAUAUUACUGAACUCUAACUGUAUGCCCAAUAUAUGCUUUUGCUUUAGUAGAAUCUAUUGGCCUAAGAGCUUUGUGUCUGUUCACUUAUUUAGUCCUUUAAAUUAACCUAUGAAAUAGGUGCUAAUAAUAAAGAAGGCAGUAAUAUUAUCCAUUUACCACUUUACAGGUGAGGAAACUGAGGCACAGAAAAAAUGGGCAUGUGCCUAAUGUUACACAGCUAAUACAUGGCACAGCGAGGAUUGGACUGUGGAAUUUAGGCUGCUCACAAACCUGUUUUCCUUUAUGUUAUCAAAAUUUACUUAAAUUUCACCAUAUAUUUGGCUAAAUACAUUAAUAAUUUAAUGAAAUUUAAGGAAGGCUGGGAGGAUUGGUUAAAAUAGUUCUGAAAUAGUGCACAUGGUGAUAGUAAUGUGUGUUUUAUCUUCUGGCUAGGGGUUAUUGGGAAAGGUACAUGAAGAGGCAAUUCUUUUCUUUCCUGUUGUUAAUUUAUUUCCAACCCUCUGGAAUGAUUAGGUCCAUUUGACAGCCAAGAAUGCAAACACAGCAUGAAAAGUUCAGGAGCUACCCAAGCCACGAGCACCAUAAGGAUGGAACAUACUGAUGGCCAAACUGUUCUCCCAUGCAGCCAGGUGCUCUGGCUCCAUGCAGCCAGAAAAGAUGAUCUCCCUCUCAGAAGCAGUGAAAUGGCCAAAUUACUGCCCCAGAGGUUCUUUCCAACACAGUCAUGCAUGAACUCCUGUGUCUGGAUAAAGCCAAGGCAAUUCUUUGGAUGUCAAUCAUUUUGAAGGGCGACUUUCUUGCAUGACUUGGUAAGAUCUGAAAGGAGGAUAACCACAAUGGAGAGGCUGUGGUGAGGCAUCCCCAGGCAGCUGGCAGUCUUGAGCAUCCAAAUGUAAUUGCUCUGUUUUAUUCACCACAGCUUGCCUGCUGUGUUCAUCAGACUGCCCAGUGGAACAGAAGGUAAUCAGGGCUACGACGAUCUCAGAAAGUCAGGCACGCACAACCAAAGUUAAAAAUAUGUAAAAAACAAAUUACUCAGCUGUAAUUUGCUCUCAUAGAACCCGAUUUCUGGAUAAGAACAAGAGGAAACAGUGCAAAACUGGGGCACUAAGAUUCAUCUUCGCCAAAGAAAAUGCAGGGAGAGCUGUGAACGUUUAACAACUUCAGUACCCAGUCGCCCAUAGUAAGUGCUUGCUUAAUGCCUAGACGAGACAGGGAGAUCCAGAGAGAGGGCAACUCAAGGCAUUUCUUUUAUUUAAAAAACUCUUUGAUCUAUUUUGAAAUUUAGGAUUUUGCUUUUGACUUUGCUAGAUAAAGUUGGAGUAGAAAUGAAUUAUUCAUAUGAAAUAUUGCCUCAAUAACACUGCAUCAAAUAAACAUAAUGAAAAGCUGCCCAUGUUAUAUAAGGGAAGCUAAGUCACAACUCUUUUGAAUUGCAAAGUUAAGUACUCGGGGCUAGACUCUUCUCCAACAUUAUUCUAUGGAGGAAUCCACUUAGGAGGAUGUAAUGCUCAGAUCCUUUUUAAUUCUGGUCAGACAUGCAUUUGUGGUUUAUGGGUUUAAACUACAGUUGUAACCAUGGUGUUCCUAAGGCUCGCUUGCAGUCCUCAUUUGUCCAUAUUCCAUGCAAGUCACUGGAGGCUGGAGAGCAGUUUCUGUGACAGUGUAUCCGAUACCACUCCAGCAUUUUAAGUGCAGCAUAGAAAUAUGGUAACAGGUAUUCUCAUCCUCCCCAAGAAUUGUGCACAUUAUGAUGCUUUCAACAACACUAAAGCAUACCCAUGUCCAUGGCUUGGAGGGCAAAUUUUAAAGCAAAUAGCACCCUCAGUGAUCAGCAAUGUUCCUUUUUAAACAAUGUUUUCACUAAUAGAUCAAAAGAGAGAUGAAUAAGUCUAAACAAACAGUGCAUGUCAGGGGAAUCGAGCUCUGCUGAAAUUCAAUAGAUAACACUAAAUUUUUGCUGACGAUUCAACUCUAAAGAAUUGGAGCUCAAUAAAGGUGUAGGAAAUAGCUGAGUCAGCCCUGGGAAAAAUGGUGAGGAGGGCAGAGUUUGUCUUUGGUGUGGCCCUGAUCCCAGCCUUCUAUCCUUUGGAUGCUUGGGGUUCUACAGAAGCAGGCCCAUCACAUUGAAGUGGGUAUUCAGUGGUUCCUAAUCACUGACUUAGGGUUACUGAGGAGCUUUGUAAAAUUGGAUUUCUGGAUCACAUUCUAGACCUGAAUUGGAGUCUCAAGAGUUGAGAAGCUCCCUGUGCUUCCUAAGGAAGUCUGAUGCUCUUGGGACCACUGGUGAAGUGAGUGUGUUGAGAGCAUAUAAGCAUUGCAGUUGGCCCGCAAGGCAACCUCGGGCAAAGUUGUCGUUAUGAACUGAAUGUAUGUGUCUCCUAAGACUCAUAUAUUGAAGCCUUGACCUCUAAGGUGAUAGUGUUGGGGGUAAAGUUUUUGGCAAAUAAUUAGGUUUAGAUUAGAUCACAACAGUGGACCCUCAUGAUGGGAUCAGUGCCCUUAUAAGAAGAAGAAGAAGAUGACACAGGAGAGCUCUCCAGGGUUUACUUUUAGAGCAAGGGAGCACCUCGCACAGAGCCCAGCCAACGAGAGACCUCAAUAAACAGUAGAUGUUCUCUUUUAAGAAGCAAUAUCACAAACCUAAAAUAGUAAACAUAGUGCUAUUUAUAUGGUCUGUGUUCACAAAAUUACACUUACCAUUAAUAUUAUUGUAUUCUUAAAUGUAUAUAUAAUAAUUUAUAUUAUAAAAUUUAUGUUGACAUUAUGUUAUAAUAUUUAUAUAUUUAUUUAAUAUGCCAAAAGUGAAAUCAAAGCAAGUUAAACUUUUUAAAAGUUUGUUAUGCAUACAAACGAACAGUUUAAGCACUGGGAGACUUUGAACCAAAACUGGUAAGAAGCCUGGCUUACAGUAGUUACAGCACAGCCUAUAAAGCAUAAAGGAGGAAGUAUUUUGGACUUCUUUGUGAUUCAUUCUUAUACAUUAAUGUUCUUUUAAAGUCAAAUAGAGCAGUUUAAGCUGAUUCGUCCAUAGAUGAUUGGUUUAAUUUCACUGAAUUAUGCCAACAAAGAUAAAAAGCUCACAUUUUGUGUUUUGCUUCUAAUUAAAACUAUUGUUUCUGGGAAAUCAUGAUGACUGAAGUUUUGGCUACAUGGCCGUGAGUGGUUAGCCUUGGGAUAUCAAAACUGUAGCUUCUGUUUUUAUUAAAUUUUUUAAAACAAAUAUAAGGUGUCAUUUGAGUCACUAGUACUGUCUCAUUGAUUCCUUGGAACAAUUUUUAGAAACAGGAUCAGCAGGGGUUAUCUUUCUCAUUUUAUAAAUGAAGAAACUCGGUCUCAAACUGGAGGCGCCCAGGAGUCUAGCACCAGUAAGUGGCUCCAGGUUCUAUUCCAUGUGCCUUCCCCUCCGAGUCAUGACACAGAUGACAUACUGGGCUCAACUCUCACAAUCAUCUUGAGACACAGCCACUGCUAAUACCAUUUCACAGAUCCAGAAACGGAGGCAGAGCAGUUCAUGACUGUCACUUGGGCUGCCAUAACAAAAUACCCUAGGGUAGGUGGGUUAACAACAGACAUUUAUUUCUCACAGUUCUCGAGGCUGGGAAGGUCAAGAUGAAGGUGCUGGUAGAUUAGGUGUCUGGCGAGGGCCUUGCUCCUGGAUUGUUUACGGCUGCCUUCACCCUGUGUGCUCACGUGGCCUUUCCUUGGUGUCUGGAUAUGAAGAGAGGAAAGCACUUACUAUGAGGCAGGUCCAGUUCUAAGGGCUUUACAUGUAUGAGUUACUUUAGUCAUCACAACUACUGAAGUGUCCUUACUAUAACUGCCAUUUUACAGAUGAGAAAAAUGAGACUCAGAAAAGUUAAAUAACAUGCCUCACGUCACACAUUAAGUGCUGAAACUAUGAUUGAAAUGUAGACAUUCUGGCUCUAUAAUUAAUCCUAAGCUACCAUUCUAAACCGUAUUUAUGAUGGGAUUUUUUUUUUUUUUUUUUUUUUUUUGAGGCAGUCUCACUCUGUCACCCAGGCUGGAGUGCAGUGGUGCAGUCUUGCUCACUGCUACUUCUGCCUCCUAGGUUCAAGCAAUUCUCCUGCCUCAGCCUCCUGAGUAGCUAGGAUUACAGGCCCACCACGACGCCCAGCUAGUUUUGUAUUUUUAGUAGAGAUGGUGUUUCACCAUGUUGGCCAGACUGGUCUCGAACUCCUGACCUCAAGUGAUUUGCCUGUCUUGACCUCGCAAAGUGCUGGGAUGAUAUGAAAAUUUUAAAAUAACAUAAUGCCUAAUAAAUAUUUGUAAGAUAAAUGAUGUAAACUUCCUUAGAACUUUGUGUCUUCAGGGGACAGCAUCCUCAGAUCCAGCUAACUGCCUGGCCUCCCUUCUCACUUUUCUUAGCGGAUCCUAGGUAGAAUACUGUGCUUAGCUGUGGGUAAGAUUUCGAAUGGCAGGUGGCAUUUCCCCUUCUCUCCAUUUUUCUCCCUCUCUUUCUCCCUCCUUUUUUCCUCCAAAGUUAUUUACUGAGUAUUUGCUCUAUGACAGGCAUCACGCUAAGCUCUGCAUGUUCAGCAGUAAACAAGAUGACAUGGGUUUUGCCUUUGGAAAACUAAUGUUCUAGUGAGGAAGAGAGGCAGCGUAAUAAGUAAUUGACAAAGAUGUGUGAUAAGCAUGAGGCCUGGGGAAAUGCAGGGUGUGCCUUGGAGUGCAGGGCUGGGCAUCCUAAGGGUCAGAAAGAUGACCUUGAAGAAAUGCCAUCUAAGCCAAGACUGGAAGCAUGUGCUAGCCAGGUGAUGGACUUGUGCGUGAAGCCUUAGGAGACAAUGUUUCAGGCACAGGGAAUAGCAUGGGCAAAGGCCUAGAGGCAAGAUAGAGAGUUCUAUGCCUAAGGGCUAAUAUUUCCAGGGGAGACUGGAGAGAGCUGAGAAGGAAGAAGUUAAGGAGAGAUGAGACUAUGAAGAGUUUAUGGUAGAGGUGAUAAAGGGUUUGAACUUCAUGCUCAGAGCAACAGGGAGCUAUUGAGGGUUUUCAGCAGGGGUGUGGCAUGGUGAGAAUCACAUUUUGGAAAGACCACUCUGGUGACAGUCUACAGUAAUAAUUGGAGGGCAGCAAGGAUGGAGGCACAGAGAGGCAUAAGGAAGUUUCUGCGGUCAGCAGAUGGCAGAUGACCAUGGCCUGGACCAGGGCAGGCCUAUGGGAUGAAGAGAUAUUUAGGAGGGAUGCUCAACAAGAUUCAGUGAUGAUUGGAUGUGAAGGGUGACUAGUAUCCCUCAGGAAACACUCUUUAAGAGGAGCAUUAAGAAAAUUGAGCACAUUUAGUUUGAAGGGGUAGAGGGAAGGGAAAGCAUGAGAGAGAUUUUCAAAUAUUUAGAGCAGCAUAGCUGUUAAAAUGUUUUGAUUAGUUUUAUUGUCUCCAUUUGAAAGAGUGACCAGCUAGGAGUCCAUCAAUUAAAACAUUAUGUUGACAAAAUAUAGUAAGUAAAGACAUUCUAUGAAAUACAUGCCUUGUAUUAUGGGGUUUGAAGAGGCCUGAGAGUGUUUAUCAGCCCAGUUAUUCUCCACCACAACCUCGAGGUGAGAGUUAGGAGAGCCGCUGAGCUCCACCUAUUCAACGUUUCUGUUGGGCACAGAGGGGUGCAGCGUAUAUGCUUCUAGACUGAACAGAAGUGACUGCAUGGCUUCAGAUAGUAGGAUUAAAAUUAUUAUACAAGGAGGCAGACAUGAGCAAGGCC
ensembl:lincRNA